AUACAUACAUACACACACACACACACACACACACAUAUAUAUAUAUAUAUAUAUUGGUUCAUAGAAAUAAUUCAAGGAGUCUAAAGUUCAAGUAAAGGAAAUAGUACCAAAAAUUCUUUAUGCAUCUUUAUGCACACAAAAACUUCUGCACAUUUUCAGAAAUAGUUGUACACCAUAUCCUUCUUCCUCUGAAGCAUUGUUCCACUAGAUAUCCUACAACAGACCCCACCACCCCCACCCUGCUGUAUAUGUCUUUUCCUCAGCUAUCAAUUAACAAGCCAUUUCAACCCCCAGCAAUCUUCAGUCAUGAAGCCAAGGGGGUGGGGGUCAAAUCCCCUAUCCUUCGUCCACCAUAUGAGACCAAU